UCGAGGAUCUUUCGCAAUGGGCGAAAGCCUGACGGAGCGACGCUGUGUGAGUGAUGAAGGCCUUCGGGUCGUAAAACUCUUUUGCCUGUGAACAAGAAAGAUUCGUGAAUAACGAGUUAAUUUGAGAGUAGCGGGAGAAAAAGCACCGGCUAACUACGUGCCAGCAGCUGCGGUAAUACGUAGGGUGCAAGCAUUAAUCGGAAUUAUUGGGCGUAAAGGGCGCGUAGGCGGAUUGAUAAGUCAGAUGUGAAAUACCAAAGCUCAACUUUGGUGCUGCAUUUGAAACUGUCUUUCUAGAGGAUUGACGGAGAAAGGGGAAUUCCACGAGUAGCGGUGAAAUGCGUAGAUACGUGGAGGAACACCGGUGGCGAAGGCGCCUUUCUAGUUUAGACCUGACGCUGAGGCGCGAGAGCAAGGGGAGCAAACAG
rnacentral:rRNA from 1 species